GAUGAACGCUGGCGGCGUGCCUAAUACAUGCAAGUCGAACGAAGAGACGAAGAUCUUGCUCCUGUUACGUUAGCGACGGACGGGUAAGUAACACGUGGAUAACCUACCUAUAAGACUUGGAUAACGGCGGGAAACCGGAAUUAAGACCAGGUAAUAUAUUGAACCGCAGGGUUCAAUAAUGAAAUUCGGGUUUUGUGUGAAUUAGAGAUGUAUCGGCGCCUCAUUGGCUAGUUGGUAAGGUAACGGGUUAGCAGGGGAACGGUGCGUACACGAGCGCAGCGGGUGAUCGCCCACCUGGGAACUGGGCCAGGGUCCAGACUACUACGGGAGGCAGCAGUAGGGAAUCUUACGCAAUGGGCGAAAGCCUGACGGAGCAGCGGCGAGUGAGUGAUGAAGGUCUUCGGAUCGUAAAACUCUGUUAUUAGGGAAGAACAAAUGUGUAAGUAACUAUGCACGUAUUGACGGUACCUACUCAGAAAGCACCGGCUAACUACGUG
rnacentral:rRNA from 1 species